rnacentral:rRNA from 1 species
UACGGGGGGAGCAAGCGUUGUUCGGAUUUACUGGGCGUAAAGGGCGCGUAGGCGGUCAGCACAAGUCAGUUGUGAAAUCUCCGGGCUUAACUCGGAAAGGUCAACUGAUACUGUGCGACUAGAGUGCAGAAGGGGCAACUGGAAUUCUCGGUGUAGCGGUGAAAUGCGUAGAUAUCGAGAGGAACACCUGCGGCGAAGGCGGGUAGCUGGGCCGACACUGACGCUGAGGCGCGAAAGCCAGGGGAGCGAACGGG